rnacentral:rRNA from 1 species
CCUACGGGAGGCAGCAGUGGGGAAUUUUGGACAAUGGGCGCAAGCCUGAUCCAGCAAUGCCGCGUGCAGGAUGAAGGCCUUCGGGUUGUAAACUGCUUUUGUACGGAACGAAACGGUGAGCUCUAAUACAGUUUGCUAAUGACGGUACCGUAAGAAUAAGCACCGGCUAACUACGUGCCAGCAGCCGCGGUAAUACGUAGGGUGCGAGCGUUAAUCGGAAUUACUGGGCGUAAAGCGUGCGCAGGCGGUGAUGUAAGACAGAUGUGAAAUGCCCGGGCUCAACCUGGGACCUGCAUUUGUGACUGCAUCGCUAGAGUACGGUAGAGGGGGAUGGAAUUCCGCGUGUAGCAGUGAAAUGCGUAGAUAUGCGGAGGAACACCGAUGGCGAAGGCAAUCCCCUGGACCUGUACUGACGCUCAUGCACGAAAGCGUGGGGAGCAAACAGGAUUAGAUACCCUGGUAGUCCACGCCCUAAACGAUGUCAACUGUGUUGGGUCUUCACUGACUCAGUAACGAAGCUAACGCGUGAAGUUGACCGCCUGGGGAGUCGCGCGAAGUUGAAACGUCAAAGGAUUGACGGCGNGAGAGNGCGAGGACGACGACGAGGGAGGAG